UGCGUAGGCGGAAUAUUAAGUCAGUGGUGAAAUCCUGCAGCUUAACUGUAGAACUGCCAUUGAUACUGGUCUUCUUGAAUAUAGUUGAGGUGGGCGGAAUGUGUAAUGUAGCGGUGAAAUGCUUAGAUAGUACACAGAACACCGAUUGCGAAGGCAGCUCACUAAACUAUCAUUGACGCUGAGGCACGAAAGCGUGGGGAGCGAACAGGAUUAGAUACCCUGGUAGUCC
rnacentral:rRNA from 1 species